UACGGAGGAUGCAAGCGUUAUCCGGAUUCAUUGGGUUUAAAGGGUGCGUAGGCGGCUAUUUAAGUCAGUGGUGAAAUCUUGCCGCUUAACGGUAAAAUUGCCAUUGAUACUGAAUAGCUUGAGUACAGUUGAGGUAGGCGGAAUGUGUAGUGUAGCGGUGAAAUGCUUAGAUAUUACACAGAACACCAAUUGCGAAGGCAGCUUACUAAACUGACACUGACGCUGAUGCACGAAAGCGUGGGGAU
rnacentral:rRNA from 1 species